UAGAGUUUGAUCCUGGCUCAGGAUGAACGCCAGCUACAGGCUUAACACAUGCAAGCCGCGGGGCAACGCAGUGGCAGCAAUGUCACGGGCGGCGACCGGCGAAUGGGUGAGUAACGCGUAUCCGACCUGCCCCGCACACGGGCACAGCCUCGCGAAAGCGAGAUUAAUGCCCGAUGGCCCUGCGCUGCCGCAUGACGGCGCAGGUAAAGGACGCAAGUCCGGUGCGGGAUGGGGAUGCGUCCGAUUAGCAUGCCGGCGGGGCAACGGCCCACCGGUGCUACGAUCGGUAGGGGUUCUGAGAGGAAGGUCCCCCACAUUGGAACUGAGACACGGUCCAAACUCCUACGGGAGGCAGCAGUGAGGAAUAUUGGUCAAUGGGCGAGAGCCUGAACCAGCCAAGUAGCGUGCAGGAUGACGGCCCUAUGGGUUGUAAACUGCUUUUGGAGGGGAAUAAAGUGGCGUACGUGUACGCCUUUGUAUGUACCCUCAGAAUAAGGACCGGCUAAUUCCGUGCCAGCAGCCGCGGUAAUACGGAAGGUCCGGGCGUUAUCCGGAUUUAUUGGGUUUAAAGGGAGCGCAGGCCGCCGAUUAAGCGUGACGUGAAAUGUCCCGGCUCAACCGGGGAGUUGCGUCGCGAACUGGUUGGCUUGAGUGCGGACGAGGUAUGCGGAAUUCGUGGUGUAGCGGUGAAAUGCUUAGAUAUCACGAAGAACCCCGAUUGCGAAGGCAGCGUACCAGGCCGUAACUGACGCUAAUGCUCGAAGGUGCGGGUAUCGAACAGGAUUAGAUACCCUGGUAGUCCGCACGGUAAACGAUGGAUGCCC
rnacentral:rRNA from 1 species